rnacentral:lncRNA from 1 species
AUGUUCCCUCUCAGAGCGAUGUCUAAAUCUAGACGUGUCGUUAAUUCUAGCCUGAUUCCAGUGUUUGUCAUGACGAUGGAGGCAGAGUUCGUGGGGGGGGGGGGGGUCAAUUCCGUUUCAAUUCCAGUCAGUUCAGGAAGUGUACCGACAUUCCAAUUUAUUUUUACUCUCUGAUUUGAUUGGGUCUGGAAUGGAAUUGACCCCAACCGAAACGACGAGUGACAGGAAGUUGACACAAUAGCACAAACGUAUCUGGAACCAGAUUAUGUCGAUAGAUCCACACUAGAAUCAUCAGCGUGUCUCCUGUUUCUGUCUAACAGUCGGUUUCUCCUCAUGGAAACAAACGUAAUGUUUUUGCCCUAACGUCAUGACACUACAUUUGACCAGGAGUUGAUAAACCAGAUCUGUGACCAUUAAGAUUUAAUUUGACCGCGGGAUUUUUUCCUCUGUUCUGCUUUCAAGACGAGCAAAAAGUUGAUCGUGGCUGGCAUUUAAACUCUGCUAGGCCAAACUAGUUCUUUAAGGGUUUUUUUUUAUUUUUAUUUUCGUGGACACACAUUAGGUUUAGUCCUAGAACUAAAAACACCCAUUUUAAAAUCAUUAUUUUAGUCCAGAGGGCUUUGCUUAAUCUGUGUCUAGGAGACAGAAAACCUAGUGUUGCUCUCCAAUUUAAACUCUUUGCUGCAGAGUAACCUGCACAUGGAGCAAUGACUUGAGAUUGUUGUUUUUCUUACUUUUGUAAAGAUUAUGUUGGGCAACUGGCCAUGUGCAUUAUGCAAGGUUGUUCAUUUCAAAUGUUCCGUUUUAAAAUAAAUGAAUCAAGAAUAAAAUACAAAUGGCACAUCAGUAAUUUAUUGAAAAUGAUUCAACAGAUUCAUAAAUAAGUGGGAACCCAUUCCCUUAGUUACAGCAUUCCUUUAGUUACAGCAUUUCCCUUGGUUACAGCAUUCCCUUGGUUACAGCAUUUCCCUUGGUUACAGCAUUCCAUUGGUUACAGCAUUCCUUUAGUUACAGCAUUUCCCUUGGUUACAGCCUUCCCUUGGUUACAGCAUUCCUUUAGUUACAGCAUUCCCUUGGUUACAGCAUUCCCUUGGUUACAGCAUUCCCUUGGUUACAGCAUUCCUUUAGUUACAGCAUUCCCUUGGUUACAGCAGUCCCUUGGUUACAACAUUUCCUUGGUUACAGCAUUCCUUUAGUUACAGCAUUCCCUUGGUUACAGCAUUCCCUUGGUU